rnacentral:tRNA from 1 species
GGGGGAUUAGCUAUGAUGGUAGAGUGCUCUCUUAGCAUGCGAGAGGUAGUGGGAUCGAUGCCCGCAUCCUCCA